rnacentral:SRP_RNA from 11 species
GCUGGAGUUUGAGGGGGGGUACACAGCAGUGCAGAACUGGCCCCUCAAGGUGUUUCGAUAGCGCGAGUGGGGAGAGGGGGG